rnacentral:rRNA from 1 species
UACGGAGGGUGCGAGCGUUGUCCGGAAUCACUGGGUUUAAAGGGUGCGUAGGUGGGCAGGAAAGUCAGUGGUGAAAUCUCCGGGCUUAACCCGGAAACUGCCGUUGAUACUAUUUGUCUUGAAUAUUGUGGAGGUAAGCGGAAUAUGUCAUGUAGCGGUGAAAUGCUUAGAUAUGACAUAGAACACCAACUGCGAAGGCAGCUUACUACACAAUGAUUGACGCUGAGGCACGAAAGCGUGGGGAUCAAACAGG